GAUGAACGCUGGCGGCGUGCCUAACACAUGCAAGUCGAGCGAACAGAUGAGGAGCUUGCUCCUCUGACGUUAGCGGCGGACGGGUGAGUAACACGUGGAUAACCUACCUAUAAGACUGGGAUAACUUCGGGAAACCGGAGCUAAUACCGGAUAAUAUAUUGAACCGCAUGGUUCAAUAGUGAAAGACGGUUUUGCUGUCACUUAUAGAUGGAUCCGCGCCGCAUUAGCUAGUUGGUAAGGUAACGGCUUACCAAGGCAACGAUGCGUAGCCGACCUGAGAGGGUGAUCGGCCACACUGGAACUGAGACACGGUCCAGACUCCUACGGGAGGCAGCAGUAGGGAAUCUUCCGCAAUGGGCGAAAGCCUGACGGAGCAACGCCGCGUGAGUGAUGAAGGUCUUCGGAUCGUAAAACUCUGUUAUUAGGGAAGAACAAAUGUGUAAGUAACUAUGCACGUCUUGACGGUACCUAAUCAGAAAGCCACGGCUAACUACGUG
rnacentral:rRNA from 1 species